UACAGAGGGUGCGAGCGUUGUCCGGAAUCACUGGGCGUAAAGGGCGCGUAGGCGGUCUCUUAAGCGUGUGGUGAAAGCCCGGGGCUCAACUCCGGGUCGGCCGUGCGAACUGGGGGACUGGAGCUUGUCAGAGGCAGGCGGAAUUCCGGGUGUAGCGGUGGAAUGCGUAGAGAUCCGGAAGAACACCGGUGGCGAAGGCGGUCUGCUGGGCAGUUGCUGACGCUGAUGCGCGACAGCGUGGGGAGCAAACAGG
rnacentral:rRNA from 1 species